rnacentral:rRNA from 1 species
AGUGAACGCUGGCGGUAGGCCUAACACAUGCAAGUCGAACGGCAGCACAGUAAUAGCUUGCUCUGACGGGUGGCGAGUGGCGGACGGGUGAGGAAUACAUCGGAAUCUACUUUUUCGGGGGGGAUAAUGUAGGGAAACUUACGCUAAUACCGCAUACGACCUACGGUUGAAAGCAGGGGAUCUUCGGACCUUGCUCGAUUGAAUGAUCCGAUGUCGGAUUAUAUAGUUGGCGGGGUAAAGGCCCACCAAGGCGACGAUCCGUAGCUGGUCUGAGAGGAGGAUCAGCACCACUAGACCUGUACCACGGCCCAGACUACUACGGGAGGCGACAGUGGGGAAUAGUGGACAAUGGGAGCAAGCAUGAUCCAGCCAUACCGCGUGGGUGAAGAAGGCAUUCGGUUUGUAAAGCCAUUCUGUUGGGAAAGAAAAGCAGCAGGUUACUCCCCCGCUGUUCUGACGGUACCCAAAGAAUAAGCACCGGCUAACUUCGUG